rnacentral:tRNA from 3 species
GGGGUAUAGCUCAGUUGGGAGAGCACCUGCCUUGCAAGCAGGGGGUCACGAGUUCGAAUCUCGUUAUCUCC